UUUAAUUCGAUGCAACGCGAAGAACCUUACCUGGUCUUGACAUCCCGGGAGACCCUUAGGAAACUAGGGGGUGCUUCCAUCUGGAAGAAUCUGGAGACAGGUGCUGCAUGGCUGUCGUCAGCUCGUGCCGUGAGGUGUCGGGUUAAGUCCCAUAACGAGCGCAACCCCUAUCAUUAGUUGCCAUCAGGUCAAGCUGGGGACUCUAAUGAAACUGCCUACGCAAGUAGUGAGGAAGGUGGGGAUGACGUCAAAUCAUCAUGGCCCUUACGGCCUGGGCUACACACGUGCUACAAUGGUCGGUACAAAGGGUUGCCAAGCCGCGAGGUGGAGCUAAUCCCAUAAAACCGAUCGUAGUCCGGAUCGCAGUCUGCAACUCGACUGCGUGAAGUCGGAAUCGCUAGUAAUCGUGAAUCAGAAUGUCACGGUGAAUACGUUCCCGGGCCUU
rnacentral:rRNA from 1 species